rnacentral:tRNA from 1 species
UCUUUGGUGGUCCAAUGGUUAAGGCUCUGUACUUCCAAUGCAGGGGGCACAGGUUCAAUCUCUGGUCAGGGAA